rnacentral:rRNA from 1 species
UAGAGUUUGAUCCUGGCUCAGGACGAACGCUGGCGGCGCGCCUAACACAUGCAAGUCGAGGGAGAAGCACAUCUUCGGAUGUGUGGAGACCGGCGAACGGGUGAGUAACACGUGAGAAACCUACCCCGGAGAUGGGAAUAACCACGGGAAACUGUGGCUAAUGCCCAAUACUCUCCAUUUACCGCAUGGCAGCUGGAGGAAAAGUCCGCUGCUCCGGGAUGGUCUCGCGGCGUAUCAGCUAGUUGGUGAGGUAAUGGCUCACCAAGGCAACGACGCGUAGCUGGAGUGAGAGCUCGAACAGCCACACUGGGACUGAGACACGGCCCAGACUCCUACGGGAGGCAGCAGUGGGGAAUCUUGCGCAAUGGGCGAAAGCCUGACGCAGCGACGCCGCGUGUGGGAAGAAGGCCUUCGGGUUGUAAACCACUUUCAGGAGGGAAGAAGCGAAAGUGACGGUACCUCCAGAAGAAGGUCCGGCCAACUACGUGCCAGCAGCCGCGGUAAUACGUAGGGACCGAGCGUUGUCCGGAAUUAUUGGGCGUAAAGAGCUCGUAGGCGGUUCUUUAAGUCGGAUGUGAAAUCUCAGGGCUUAACCCUGAAACCGCACCCGAUACUGGAGAACUUGAGGCAGGUAGGGGAGAUCGGAAUUCCUGGUGUAGCGGUGAAAUGCGCAGAUAUCAGGAGGAACACCGGUGGCGAAGGCGGAUCUCUGGGCCUGUUCUGACGCUGAGGAGCGAAAGCGUGGGGGAGCAAACAGGAUUAGAUACCCUGGUAGUCCACGCCGUAAACGAUGGGUGCUAGGUGUGGGAGAUAAUCCACUUCUUCCGUGCCGCAGCUAACGCAUUAAGCACCCCGCCUGGGGACUACGGCCGCAAGGCUAAAACUCAAAGGAAUUGACGGGGGCCCGCACAAGCGGCGGAGCAUGUGGCUUAAUUCGAAGCAACGCGAAGAACCUUACCAGGGCUUGAAAUAUACGGAAAAACCAUGGAAACAUGGUGUGCUUCGGCGUCGUAUACAGGUGGUGCAUGGUUGUCGUCAGCUCGUGCCGUGAGGUGUUGGGUUAAGUCCCGCAACGAGCGCAACCCUUAUCCUAUGUUGCCAGCGCGUAAUGGCGGGGACUCAUGGGAGACUGCCGGUGUCAAACCGGAGGAAGGUGGGGACGACGUCAAAUCAUCAUGCCCCUUAUGUCCUGGGCUGCACACAUGCUACAAUGGCCGGUACAGAGGGCUGCGAUCCCGCGAGGGUGAGCGAAUCUCACAAAGCCGGUCUCAGUUCGGAUUGGAGUCUGCAACUCGACUCCAUGAAGGCGGAGUCGCUAGUAAUCGCAGAUCAGCAACGCUGCGGUGAAUACGUUCCCGGGCCUUGUACACACCGCCCGUCACGUCAUGAAAGUCGGUAACACCCGAAGUCAGUGGCCCAACCGCAAGGAGGGAGCUGCCGAAGGUGGGAUCGGCGAUUGGGACGAAGUCGUAACAAGGUAGCCGUAAUCUC